GACAUGACUCUCGGCAAUGGAUAUCUCGG
rnacentral:rRNA from 1 species